GCUGCAUCCAUCACCGGAGAUCCCCACCACCCAGGAUGUGCCCUUUUCUCAGGUAGAAAAUAUUCACACCACCAGGUUCAAGAACAGUUGCUACCCCCCCAACACCAGGCUCUUGAACAAAGGAGUUAGCCACACUUAUCUGUUGAGAUGUUCCCUCAACCAAUGAUCUCACUUUAGGGACUCUUUAUCUCUUAUUUCAUGCUCUCGUUAUUUAUUGACAUUUGCACAGUUUGUUGCCUCCUAUGCUCUUGAUCUUUCAUUGAUCCCGUUUACAGUUACUAUUCUAUAGAUUUACUGAGUAUGCCUGCAGGAAAAUGAAUCUCAGAGUUGUACACUAUGUGGUGACAAAUAUAUGAACUUUGAACAGGUGAUGACAAUCAACCAAAUUAUUAAUUUGACAAUAACUGCAGCAAAAUGGUUCUCUAAGACAAUUUCUGGAAUGAAACAGCUGUUAAAGGAUGGACCGGCGUUGGAGAGGGUCUAGGGGACAAUGACUCUGGGAGUGAAAGGGAUAACAUAUGAGAAGCAUCUGAGGGCUCUGGGCCUGUGCUCACUGGAGUUUAGAAAAACAGGGGUGAUCCAUCAUCAGGGAGCUCCAAGACCCAGGUCAUGUUCCCUUCUAGCUGCCUUCAGGUAGAAGGUACAAGAGCCUCAGGACCUCCACCACCAGGUUCAAGAACAGUUACUACCCCUCAAUGAUCAGGCUCUUGAAUCAGAGGGAAUAACUUCACUCAGCUUUACUUGCCCCCAUCAUUGAAAUGUUCCCACAACCAGUGGACUCAUUUUCAAGGACUCUUCAAAUCUUACGUUCUUGAUACUUAUUGCUUAGUUAUUUAUUAUUCUCUCUUAAUUUCCGAUUGCAUUUGCGCCAAGAAAGCACAUUUGCACGUUGUUGCCUUCUGCACUCUGGCUGAACGUCCCUGGUGGUGUGGUCUUUCAUUGUGGUUUUUACAUAAAAUAUACUAUAAAUUAUUAUGUGUAAAUUUUUUAAAAUAGUAAGUAGUGCACAAAGAGAACAAAGGCAGUGUUCAAAGCUUCCGAGUUAUUUCAGAAAUCGGAUGGAGCUGUACCCUAAUCGUGGUGUUUGUGUCGACAGGCUCCUGUACUUUGUCCCUGAUGGUAGCCAUGAGCAAAGGACAUGUUGUGGCAGAUAGGCCUUUAAUGACGGACGUUGCCUUUUUGGAGACUUCCUGGAUGCUGGGGAGGCGAGUGCCCAUGAUGGAGCUGGCUGAGUUUACAACCCUCUGCAGCUUUUCCUGAUCCUGUGCUGAGGCCCCUCCAUGUCAGCCGGUGAUGCAACCAUGGUACAUUUGUAGAAAUUUGUCUUUGGUGACAUACCAGACCUCCCCUUCUGUUGGAGAGAAAGCAUACACCUCCUACUCUGGUUUUUCACCAACAAUAAUGACGGAAUAGAUGUUAUUCUCUUUUUAAAUAAUGCCGAGAGGAUCAUACGGGUUGUUCCAUGAAGGGUCAGUGUAAUUGUCGGGGGAAAGCCGCUUGCGCCGUGCCGGUCACCGACUGGCCCUCGUGAAGGAUGCAGCAGCUCGUUCCCAUUGGUUGCCUCAUGUGCGGCGGCUCCGGUGUCCGGUUUCAGGCGCCUCAGGGUGUAAGAGCAGCCGGUGAGGGAGGCCCGGUCUCUCUGCAGGCCACUCUUCACACUGAGGCCGCGACCAGUCACUGGGAAGGUAGGGUCCAGACCACAGCACUCCACACAAUCGGGUUUAAAAUCACCGGCAGCAGUACAAUGCAAUACAUAAUAAUAGAGGAAAAAGACUGAAUUAUGGUGACUAUAUGUGUAUGUGAGUGUGUGUAUAUAUUAGUUUAAUUAAAAUAGGUGGUGCAAAAACAUAAAUGAUAAAAAGUAGUGAGGUAGUGUUCAUGGGUUCAACGUCCAUUUAGAAGUCAGAUGGCAGACGGGAAGAAGCUGUUCCUGAACAAUUGAGUGUUGGUCUUCAGGAUCCUGUACCUCCUCCCUGACAGUAGCAAUGAGAAGAGGGCACGGCCUGGGUGGAUACUGGGGAGGGUGAUGGUGCAGACUAAUUUGACAACUCUCUACUGUUUACUUCGAUCCUGUGCAGUGACCCCUCAACACCACCCCCCCAGUGACGUAGCCAGUCAGAAUGCUCUCCGUGGUACUGUAGAAAUCCGCGAGUGUUUCAGGUGACAAAUCAAAUCUCCUCAAACUCCUAAUGAAGUAUAGCCUUCUCUAUAGCUGCAUCGAUAUGCUGGGACCAGGUUAGAUCCUCAAAGACGUUGACAGCCAGCAACUUGAAAUAGCUCACUUUUUCCACACCGAUUGCUCUACGAGGGCUGAAGUCCACAAUCGGCUCUUUGGCCUUACUGAUGGAAGAGCUGUAGCAUCACUCGACUAACUGAUCCUAACUGUCCUAGCUAGCUGACCCUUUACACAUUCUUAGCUAAGUAUCUGCUUGUUGAAUAUUUAGUUUGGUAGUCUGUGUAACUUGGGAACUUUGGUUGAAUAUUUUACAGUUUCUAAAUCAAUGAUUAAUAUACUUAUUUGUGAUCAAUGUUUUCAGCCUCAUUCACCAAACCCAUGAACCUGCUUCCACAUUACACAGGUAAUCAGCAGGAUGCACCUCAACUUACCUGCUGACGCAGUAGUAACCAAUCAGCUGGAAGAUGCUGGUAAACCCCAGGUCCCGUGUUCCAAACGGACUGUCAGGAUCUUACUUCGUCCACAGUUAUUAUUCCAAACCAGAAAUGCCUGGAAUUAUAGAGAAUCAGGUUUAAUAUCAUCGACGUUAACUUUACGGCAGCAGUACAAUGAAAUACAUGAUAAAUAAAUAUCGAGGAAAAAACUGAGGAGAGUAAAGAAGUGAGGAGGUAUUCAUGCCAUUUUGAAAUUGAAUGAAACUCGGCAGCGCUGUGGGGAGGAAACCUCAUUGCUGAUUGGUGGAGUGGUGAACUUUGUGUGUUGUGGCGCUCCUUGCGUCACAAUUGAAUUUCCGAAAUGACGACCAAUCCGCUGAUGGAUAGGUAUAUAAAGGCCAAGCAUUCGGGGACACUCCACAAUCGACAGCACACUGACAACGUCUCCUCGUAUGGUGAUGAAACGUUUGUGAGUAAAUUGCCAAGAUCGGAAAACAACUCAACCCAACCAUCAACCACUUGAACUUCAAUUUUUCCGAAUAAUAUUUAUUUUAUUUUCUAUUCAGAGAUGCAGGCAUCCAAUUACAGCCAUGUGGCCAUUUAACCUGCUAGCCCAUACAUCUCUGGACUGUGGGAGGAAAACAGAACACCCGGAGGAAACCCACACGGUCACGGGGAGAACCUGCAAACUCCUCACAGACAGCAGCAGGAAUUGAACCCAGGUCACUGGCGUUGUAAUAGCAUAACGCUAACUGCUACACUACCAUACUGCCCCUGCACCAUAUUGCUGAAAUAUGUCGUACCCUCUCUUCUCCCCUCCCUCCUAUCGAUACAGAAGCCCAGAAGCUUGUAGCGCGGGCUCAAGGACAGCCUCUGUCCCGUUGCUGUAAGACGACUGAAUGGACCUUUUGUAUAAUAAGAAGGACUCCUGACCUCACAACUUAACACAUAGUAACCUGGCACCUUGUUGUCUGACUGCACUUUCUCUGUAACUGCCACACCUUAUUCUGCAUUCUUUAUUGCUUUCUAGUUCAUUAAGGUUGUUAUAGCUGGAGAUGGUAAUGGGGACAAGCUCCCACUACAAUGCUCCCAAUGCCUUGCAUCUCAAAUAGCCCCUGACAACCAAGUCCAGCUCCCGGCGUUCACGUGUGGCUUAGCUACAGCCCGGUGGAACUGUUUCUACUGACAGGAGGGCCAAGGGUGGGUUACUGGCUCCUUAAAACCAGUCACUUGGGGCAGCUGGAGCUCAUCAUCUAGGAGGAGGAGAACUCUGAUCUCAAACCUCCGCUACACCCACUCACGGGGAAGGCUUCAGGAGUAAACCCUGGCGGAAAAAACCGGAGCUGGAGUCCCUAAGGCAAUCCUACGUUGAUUUCAACGCUGACUGGCAACUCCUGCGAUGCUGCUGCCUAACUGUAUCAGUUUCUGCUGUUCCUUUGGAUUCAUCAGCUGUGUGGAGAGGGGGAGCCUGCUACGUGGGCAACAGCUCACUCUCCAUAUCGUACUGUCCUGGCUUGCUUAUCUAACAGCUAGGAUGCAACAUCCAUGGUCACCCCAGACCAAUGGAGGCCUAUUAUUGCCUUCUACGAUUUCUUCCUGAAAUCUACUGACCUUCUCACCGAGAAACUCCUUAAACCUUCCAAACAGCAUAGAAGUAUAUGCCAGAACGUAAUCAAUGGAGAACCAGCAGAGAUCUGAUGGACCAAAGGGUGAUAAGAAAAUGUGGAAAAGUCUGGAAUAUGGAAUAAUCAGGUGCCAAAGGUUUGAGAUAGGAUGAGAGGGGAGAGGCGGCUGUCAAUCUUAACCCAGAGGGCGGUGAGAGGUUGGGACUCUCGGCUUGAAGGAGUGCUGGAGGUAGGAACUCUCUUCAUACUUAGAGUACUGGGUGUGGAUUGAGGAACCAUGAUCUACAGGGUUAUGGGCCCUGGUUUAAAGGGUGGGAUUAGGCUAGGAGUCUUUUCCAGUAAGAACACCGAUAAGACCAUAAGACAAAGGAACAGCACGAGGCCAUUUGGCCCAUUGAGUCUGCUCCACCAUCCCACCCCUCUCAACCCUAUUCCCAUAACCUUUGGAGCCCUUCCUAAUGAAGAAUCUAUCCUGUAUAUUAAUAUUAUGAAUUUAUAUUUACUGUAUUUUUAUUGUGUUCAUUUUGAUUAUUGUGUUUACUUAUGGUGCGUUGGAUUCAGCCCAACAAUCGUUUCAUUCCUCUUUACACUCGAGUAAUGAGGAAUGACAAUAAACAAUCUUGAAUCCAGAAUCUAUUGACCUCUGCCUUCAAUGCACAUGAUGAUUUGGCCUCCACGGAUUCACCACCCUCUGGCUAAAGAAAUUCCUCCCCAUCUCUGUUCUAUAGGGAUAUCCUUGUAUUCUGAGGUUGUGCUGUCUCACUACCGGAAAUAUCAUCUGCCAUCUAGGCCAUAUGUACAGGAAAGGGUUCCGUCAUCACCAGGAAUCCCACCUACCCUGCUCAUGGACUGUUUGUCCCACUCUCAUUGGGGAGGAAGCUACUUGGCAUCGAUGUCAGUAGCUCAAAAACAGAGACUUUCCCCAAGCAGUAAGGCUGCUCAACACCUCCACUACUAUUUUAUUCUGUGCAGUGUAGUGUCACUUUAUGGUCAUGCAAUCCUUCUAUGUGUAGGAGCUUUCUUAUGUAUUUAUAAUUACUGUGUAUUUGAUUGUUAUUUAGUUCUUUAUCUUUGUGUUUUUGUGCUGA